rfam:Asian citrus Psyllid, Diaphorina citri - Florida Strain, whole genome shotgun sequence.
AGCUCCCUGGUUAAGUGGUCACUGCGCUCGUCUUGCACGCGGGAGACCCGGGUUCGAUUCCCGGCGGGGUCA